GUGCUUGCUUGGGCAACACAUAUACUAAAAUUAGAAAGAUACAGAGAGGAUUAGUAUGGCCCCUGCACAAGGAUGACAUGCAAAUUCAUGAAGUGUUCCAUAUUUUA